rnacentral:tRNA from 1 species
UUAGCUCAGUUGGUUAGAGCAGGGUACUAAUAAUGCCAAGGUCAUAGGUUCAAUCCCCGUA